rnacentral:tRNA from 44 species
GGAGAGAUGGAUGAGCGGUUUAAGUCGCACGCCUGGAAAGCGUGUAUAGGUUAAUAACCUAUCCGGGGUUCGAAUCCCCGUCUCUCCGCCA